GAUGAUUCAGCCCUGCUGACAUGCUGGAAUUAGCUUCCGGCAUUGCCCACCCUGGACAGCUGAGGUUUAGUAGUAUACAUCCCAAACUUAGAAGACUGGAG